rnacentral:rRNA from 1 species
CACGCUGUAAGCGAUGAGUACUAGGUGUCGGGGGUUACCCCCUUCGGUGCCGCAGCUAACGCAUUAAGUACUCCGCCUGGGAAGUACGCUCGCAAGAGUGAAACUCAAAGGAAUUGACGGGGACCCGAACAAGUAGCGGAGCAUGUGGUUUAAUUCGAAGCAACGCGAAGAACCUUACCUAAGCUUGACAUCCCAAUGACAUCUCCUUAAUCGGAGAGUUCC